AGCUUGCGGUUUAAUCGGACUCAACGCCGGAAAUCUCACCGGGUAAGACAGCUGGAUGAUAGCCGGGCUGAAGACUCUGCUUGACUAGCUGAGAGGAGGUGCAUGGCCGUCGUCAGUUCGUACUGUGAAGCAUCCUGUUAAGUCAGGCAACGAGCGAGACCCACGCCAACAGUUGCCAGCAUGUCCUCCGGGAUGAUGGGGACACUGUUGGGACCGCCUCUGCUAAAGAGGAGGAAGGAAUGGGCAACGGUAGGUCAGCAUGCCCCGAAUUAUCCGGGCUACACGCGGGCUACAAUGGUCAGGACAAUGGGUAUCAACACCGAAAGGUGAAGGCAAUCUCCUAAACCUGUCCUUAGUUCGGAUUGUGGGCUGCAACUCGCCCACAUGAAGCUGGAAUCUGUAGUAAUCGCGUCUCAACAUGGCGCGGUGAAUAUGUCCCUGCUCCUU
rnacentral:rRNA from 1 species